rnacentral:tRNA from 1 species
GGGGAUGUCGUCUAGCUUGGUCUAGGAUCCAGCCUUCGGGCGGGAAAGGAAAAGGCUGUGACUUGGGUUCAAAUCCCAACAUCCCCA